rnacentral:lncRNA from 1 species
GAGCUCCCCGGUGACAUAGUGAUAACUCAAGAACAGAUCAUAGACGGAGACAACGAGUCCGAGAUGGGGAAGUUCAUGAUUGAUGUGAGAGAAUCAGAGCUGAAGAGCUCAGGUGUUGUUGUGAACAGCUUCUACGAGCUUGAACCUGAUCACGCAGACUUUUACAAGAGAUUUGUAGCUAAGAGAGCGUGGCAUAUCGGUCCGCUCUCUGUUAUAAACAGAGGAUUUGAAGAGAAGGCUGAGAGAGGAAAGAAAGCUAGCAUUGAUGAAGCUGAAUGCCUCAAAUGGCUUGACUCCAAGGAACAAGAUUCAGUCAUAUACAUUUCAUUUGGGAGCGUGGCUUGCUUCAAGAACAAGCAGCUGAGAGAGAUCGCUCUAGGGUUAGAAGCGUCUGGCACAAAUUUUAUUUGGGUUGUGAGGGAAAACACAGAUGACAAAGAAGAAUGGUUGCAAGAAGGGGUUGAAGAGAGGCUCAAAGAAAGAGGAAUGAUAAUAAGAGGAUGGGCACCACAAGUACUGAUACUUGAGCACCAAGCAACAGGAGGGUUUGUGACUCACUGUGGCUGGAACUCGCUUCUUGAAGGUGUGGCUGCAGGGCUACCUAUGGUGACGUGGCCUAUUGGAGCAGAGCAAUUCUACAACGAGAAGUUGGUUACGCAAGUUCUCAGAACUGGAGUGAACGUGGGAGCCACAAAGCAUGUGAAAGCUAUGGAAGAUGAUAUCAUUAGUAGAGAGAAAGUAGAGAAGGCGGUGAGAGAGGUCUUGGUUGGGGUAGAGGCGGAGGAGAGGCGUAAACGGGCGAAGAAGCUGGCGGAGAUGGCUAAAGCUGCGGUGGAAGAAGGAGGGUCUUCUUUUAACGAUCUAAACAACUUCAUAAAAGAGUUCAGCUCAUGAUGAUUCUUCGUAUAGAGUUUUGGUUACAACUCUUAUAUUGGGAAUAAGACAAAACCUAAUGUAAUAUUCAAGGAAUAUAGGUUAAUCAAUCUUUCAUUUUCACUUGAGCGAGCUAGUAUGAAUUUGUAUCUAGAAGCGGCAGUCAAUAAUUUUCCCAACUGUUUGAUUCUAAGAGGCGCCAAAAAUUCUGGUACAUGUUUAAAUCACGUCUUAAUUACAUUUGUCAAAGAUCCACCAACGUUAAGACUUGAGAGAUUUCAUAAAAAAAAAACAAGAGUUAAAGACAGAUGUGCGUUUUGAGAAAGUGGUGACACAUGAUCUUGUCUUGUUACAUGCACAUGCAUGCGUAAGAUUUGACUUUUCUUUGUUGGUAUGGAACCGAAAGAGCAGUUAAACUUUAUGAUAUAGAUAUACAAAUAAUACUCUCUAAAUAGCAUCAACAUUAAUUAUUACAUAUUGAUAACCUAUUAGAAUAUUUUUUUUAUUAAGAUAUAAACUCAUAUUGACUGUUUUAACAAAAGCGACAGCAUAAUUUCAAGUUAUACAUUAUACUAGUCAAUUAAUUAAAAAAAUUACUCAAAAUAUCAACAUAAUUGUAGAUUUUGAAUUGAUUUUCACUGAGACUUGAUCUAAACUAGUGGAGCGUGCCGGAUGAUGGUCAAACGAAACUAAUUAAGAAACAAUUAGUUUGAGUUAUUUCAUAUGAAUCGGUAUAAAAUAUAUAAAUUAAAAAAAAAUUGGUUCCACGAUACCUUGAAAACAGAUACUAGAUUCCAAAAAACCCAAAAUCAGUGACGUAUGCAAAGACGUCAGGUUCAUUAAACCAAAACGUUUCUUGUAUGUUAUAUAAAUAGAGAGAUGCAUAACCAACUCUUCUACAAGCUUCAGAAUCUUUCAUCUCUCUCAAAUUUCUCGAAACAUAUCAUUUUUUUUCAGUCAAAGUCAAACAUGGCUAGUAACUCUCAUAAGCUCCAUGUUAUGUUCUUCCCUAUCAUGGCUCAUGGUCACAUGAUACCAACUCUAGACAUGGCUAAGCUAUUCUCCAGCAGAGGAGCCAAGUCCACUAUUCUAACCACACCUCUCAACGCCAAGAUCCUCCAGAAACCCAUCGACAUAUUCAAGAACCUCAAUCCGAGUCUCCAAAUCGAGAUCCAGAUUUUGGAUUUUCCUUGCGUCCAGCUCGGGUUACCAGAAGGAUGCGAAAACGCUGACUUCUUCACCUUAACCAACAACAUUGAUGAUAGACGCGCCAUGAUCUCCAAAUUCUUUUUGGCGACCAGGUUUUUCAAAGACCAGCUUGAGAAGCUCCUCGAGACCAGGAGACCAGACUGUCUUAUCGCCGACAUGUUCUUCCCGUGGGCUACUGAAGCUGCUGAGAAGUUCCAUGUGCCAAGACUUGUGUUCCACGGCACUGGCUACUUCUCUUUAUGCGCUAGUUAUUGCAUCAGAGUGCAUAACCCACAGAAGAGAGUAGCUACAAGUAGCGAGCCAUUUGUGAUCCCUGAUCUCCCAGGGAACAUUGUGAUAACUCGAGGACAGAUCUUAGACCGUGGUGAAGACACCGAGAUGGGGAAGUUUAUGACCGAGGUUUUAGAAUCAGAAGCGAAGAGCUCAGGUGUUGUUGUGAACAGCUUCUACGAGCUUGAACCUGACUAUGCUGAUUUUUACAAGAGUAGUGUAGCAAAGAGAGCGUGGCAUAUUGGUCCGCUCUCGGUUCACAACAGAGGAUUUGAGGAGAAGGCUGAGAGAGGAAAGAAAGCAAGCAUUGAUGAAGCUGAAUGCCUCAAGUGGCUUGACUCCAAGAAACCAGAUUCAGUCGUUUACAUUUCAUUUGGGAGCGUGGCUAACAUCAAGAACGAGCAG